rnacentral:rRNA from 1 species
GACGAACGCUGGCGGCGUGCCUAAUACAUGCAAGUUGAGCGAUGAAGAUUGGUGCUUGCACCAAUUUGAAGAGCAGCGAACGGGUGAGUAACGCGUGGGGAAUCUGCCUUUGAGCGGGGGACAACAUUUGGAAACGAAUGCUAAUACCGCAUAAUAACUUUAAACAUAAGUUUUAAGUUUGAAAGAUGCAAUUGCAUCACUCAAAGAUGAUCCCGCGUUGUAUUAGCUAGUUGGUGAGGUAAAGGCUCACCAAGGGGAUGAUACAUAGCCGACCUGAGAGGGUGAUCGGGCACAUUGGGACUGAGACACGGCCCAAACUCCUACGGGAGGCAGCAGUAGGGAAUCUUCGGCAAUGGACGAAAGUCUGACCGAGCAACGCCGCGUGAGUGAAGAAGGUUUUCGGAUCGUAAAACUCUGUUGGUAGAGAAGAACGUUGGUGAGAGUGGAAAGCUCAUCAAGUGACGGUAACUACCCAGAAAGGGACGGCUAACUACGUG